rnacentral:snRNA from 1 species
CGCCGAUUAAAAGGCACUUUGGUCACUUUGAAAAGAUACAGAGAAGAUUAGCAUAGCCCCUGCACUAAGGACGACACGCGAACGCGAACGGAUGCUACUUCAUUUUU